rfam:Corynebacterium epidermidicanis strain DSM 45586, complete genome.
CGAGCCGACCGGGUGAUCGCGGCAGUGGUAUCGGCCUGUUAGGGUGCUGACCGGUGUCGAGGAAAGUCCGGACUCCGCAGAGCACGGUGGUUGCUAACAGCAACCCAGGGUGACCUGAGGGAAAGUGCAACAGAGAGUAGACCGCCUGGGGCUUCGGCCAUCAGGUAAGGGUGAAAGGGUGCGGUAAGAGCGCACCGGCAUGCUAGGUGACUAGCGUGGCCAGGUAAACCCCACUGGGAGCAAGGCAAGAGGCUGCACCCGAGUUUAACUCGGGUGUGGCUGCGCGGACGACUGAGGGCUGCUCGCCCGAGUCCGCGGGUAGCUGCUUGAGGCCACCAGUGAUGGCUGGUCCAGAUGGAUGAUCGCCACCCGCGCGCUCUUCGGGGCGGGCGGGGACAUAAUCCGGCUCAUAGGUCGACUCGUUCG